GGCUCAGGACGAACGCUGGCGGCGUGCUUAACACAUGCAAGUCAAGGACCGUAGCAAUACGGGACUGGCGCACGGGUGCGGAACACGUAGGCAAUCUACCCUCAGGGGGAAAACAACCCGUUGAAAGACGGGCUAAAUUUCCGUAACAUCACAUGGUGGCAUCACCGCGUGAUCAAACUUUCCAGAGGAUGAGCCUGCGUCUGAUUAGUUAGUUGGCGGGGUAACGGCCCACCAAGACUACGAUCAGUAGCUGGUCUGAGAGGAUGAUCAGCCACAUUGGGACUGAGAUACGGCCCAGACUCCUACGGGAGGCAGCAGUGAGGAAUAUUGCUCAAUGGGGGAAACCCUGAAGCAGCAACGCCGCGUGAGGGAUGAAGGGGCUUUGCCUCGUAAACCUCUGUAGUCGGGGACAAAUGUAGGGUUACUACCCUAUUGAUGGUACCCGAAAAGUAAGGAUCGGCUAACUACGUGCCAGCAGCCGCGGUAAUACGUAGGAUCCGAGCGUUGUCCGGAUUUACUGGGUGUAAAGGGUGCGCAGGCGGAGUGGUAAGUCAGAGGUGAAAUCUCGUCGCUCAACGACGAAACUGCCUUUGAUACUAUCAUUCUUGAGUUCGGUAGAGAUCUGUGGAAUUCCGAGUGUAGCAGUGAAAUGUGUAGAUAUUCGGAAGAACACCAGUGGCGAAGGCAGCAGAUUGGGCCGAUACUGACGCUCAGGCACGAAAGCAUGGGGAUCAAACAGGAUUAGAUACCCUGGUAGUCCAUGCCCUAAACGAUGUACACUUGAUAUCUGCCCUCAGGGUAGGUGUCGGAGCUAACGCGUUAAGUGUACCACCUGGGGAGUACGCUCGCAAGGGUGAAACUUAAAGG
rnacentral:rRNA from 1 species